GAAUAUUGGACAAUGGGCGCAAGCCUGAUCCAGCCAUGCCGCGUGUGUGAAGAAGGCCUUCGGGUUGUAAAGCACUUUAAGUUGGGAGGAAGGUUUCUUGGCUAAUACCCAAGAGAAUUGACGUUACCAACAGAAUAAGCACCGGCUAAUUCCGUGCCAGCAGCCGCGGUAAUACGGAAGGUGCGAGCGUUAAUCGGAAUUACUGGGCGUAAAGCGCACGCAGGCGGCUUUUUAAGUCGGAUGUGAAAGCCCCGGGCUCAACCUGGGAAUUGCAUUCGAUACUGGGGAGCUAGAGUAUGUGAGAGGGGGGUAGAAUUCCAAGUGUAGCGGUGAAAUGCGUAGAGAUUUGGAGGAAUACCAGUGGCGAAGGCGGCCCCCUGGCACAAUACUGACGCUCAGGUGCGAAAGCGUGGGGAGCAAACAGG
rnacentral:rRNA from 1 species